AAAAUAGAGAUCUUAUGUCUAUCAGAGAAUUAGGCACCGGACCCAGCUCUGACUUAGGUUUUUUUAAUAUGUAAAGUGAGGUGUUUUUGAGACUUCUCUUGUUUUAUGAGCCGAAGUAGCCUAAAGUCUAUGGAUUUGACGUUUUGUCUGUGUUUAAGACGCAUCAUUGUGCUUUUGCUUCAGACUGACAGUGAUCCUGAUGACCCUGAAAUUCUGAGUAGUCCAGCACCUUGUGCAAUUUUUAAAGGUUGUCAGUGCUGUUGUUCUGUCCUGAUGACCAUUUGUGGGAUUGGACGGAGGCAGCCGUGCCUGACUCGGGGGCUGAUGGUCCACUGAUUGCACAGAUGUCCCUAAGAAGGCGAGAUGCCGUGGAAAUGAUGGAUGACAUGAGUCCUGCCCCUCUGCCCUCGGCUAUCAAGCGCUGUCUGGAAAACAACGGAAAACCUCUCAAUCAACGGAGAC
ensembl:lncRNA